GCGACUGAGCUCUUCCAAUAAGAAGUUCGGAGUGGUGGUGAUGUCACCGGGAGCGGGUGUUAGCUGGGGGAUUGGGGUAGAUUCCGCCUUGUAAGUGUACUCGGUUCUCCUCUUAAGCGCGCGGAAGUGAACCCAGCAGCUUGGAAGCCUACUGGCUUCGUUCACCUUAGGGCAGUCUAGACCUGGAGUACCUAGGAAGCACCUUUGCCUCAAUCCAGACGUUCCGCCCUUGUCCCACGCAGCUUACCCAGCGCAGGGAAGGGGAGAAAACUGCGUCUGGGCUGCGGGAACCAGUAACCGUAGAGCCUGCGAGAUGGGGCCAUUCAGGCGUUGAGCCGAAGCCAUGCCAAGAGUUUUAACUAAAAUGAGAAGCGGCCAAAUGAACGAACAUAUGCCGGAGUGCGUUUGUUCGUUUAGCAAAUAGUUAAUGACCACUAACCGAGCGUUGCCAGGCAGUGGCCUUGAAAGUUAUCCACUAUUUGGGGUAUGUAUUUUACGCAGAAAAUAAAAAUCAUCAGAUGAUUCAUUUCCUUAGAAAUAAAAUAACUAGAUGCCGAACACUACCACAGGAGCUGGGAUAGAGGGAGGAGGGCGGUAAGAUCCGGACAUAGAGACAUUCGAAUGCUAUCUAUGCAAGUUGGCCGGUGUGGCUGGAGCCAAGUGAGUUAAUAGGGUAGGAUGCCGGGAAUGGGACAAGGGCAGUUAGAUGAUGUAACGCCCGAUUGCCCAUCGUAAGGACUUUUACUCUCAGUGAAAUGGGGAGUGAUUUUGAGCAGAAGAGUAAUAGGAUUAUUUACAUUUCAAAAGAAUCACUGGAGAUACUUUGUAGUGGAAGCAGGACCACCAGUGAAUGAGGAAGCUAUUCUUGUAAACUAGGCUAGCAAGAUGCUAGUGGCUCAGACCAGGGUGGUAGCAAUGGAAAGAAAGUGUGAGGAGUGGACAGAUUCUGGAUUAUGAUCUGAAAGUAAGCUAACAAGGUUUUUCUGAAGGAUAAGAUAUGAGGUAUGAAGAAAGAGGAGUCAGAGAUGAUCCCAAGAUUUCUAACUUGAGCAAGGGAGAAGGAUGAAAUUGCCAUUUAUAGUGAUGGGGCAAAAAUUUGGAGUGGGUUUGAAUGGUUUAAAACAGACUGGGAGAGGAAAUGGCAAGAUCGAGUAGAAACAACACUAGUACUUCCAUUACAGAGGGUCAAAUAAAUGGAGCAGGAACUCUAUGGGAAAUACAGGCAAUGAAGAUUUAGGUCUUAAAGAUUCAAAUAGUAACAUGUUUAGAGAAGAUAUCCUUUUGUUUUUGUAGCCACCUGGCUCUACCAACUUGAAACCACUUUAAAUUCUCUGCUUGAGGUUUUCUAGAAUACACCGUGCAUUUGGACCAUGAACUUUUUUUUUUUUAAGUGGCUUUAUUUUAUUUGUAAAAAUGUAUUCCAAGAGAUUUUUAAGGAAUCUGAAAUCCUUGGUAUAUAAAAGCGUAAAAACAAGUGACAUCUUUUUGUAAAAGUGGACUACAUAAAAUCAUAAAAAAUAAUCAACAUAUCCAUGUUUUGUUCAGUGUAGUUUAGCUUUGAAAAUACAUACCUGUUGAAGCAGCAUUUUCCCCUCAAUUAGGGAAUGCAUUUUUUUAUACUUAUUUAAUGACACAUUUUCACACAUAAUGAUUUUUUAAAUCUUUGACAUUUGAAAGGAUAUUUGAAUAAUUAAAAUUUGAUCUCUGAAAACCACAAAAAAGUACUUUAACUGCCUACUCCCUUGUUCAUAAAAGCCUCUAUACAAGCCAGACUUCGCACUGAUCCAAGUUUCUAUGGGUCAGAAAUUUAGCAGCCUGUGUGUGGCUGAGUGCUUCUGGCCAGGAGUCUCUCUUGAGCCUGCAGCGGGAGGAACCACUUCCAAGAUGACUUAACCCAGAGGCUCUGGUUGUUGACAGGAGGCGGGAGGAACCACUUCCAAGAUGACUUAACCCAGAGGCUCUGGUUGUUGACAGGAGGCCUCAUUCCUUCCAUGCGGGCUUCUCCCCAGGCUGCGUAAACAUUCUCACAGCAUGGUGGCAGUCCUUCCCCAGAAUGAGCACAGAGACAGCAAAGUAGAAGCUUUGAUGACUUUGAUGGCCCAGCCACAGAAGUUGUACACCAUUUCAACAACAUUCUACUAGUCACAAAGGUUGGCUCUGUUCAUCGUGAGAAGGGACAACACAGAAGUGUGAGUAUCAGGAGGCCGACGGAAUCGGGGCGUGCCAUUUUGGAGGCUAGCUACUCCAGUGCUAGAACGCCUCUGCUGGCGUUCCUCAGUGCUUCAGAUGUACUCGCUUAGGAAUCACAACUAUGGAGGGAUUGACUCGAGAGUGGUGUGAAUAUGAUUUCCACAGUAUAUCUUAAAGGAAACAUUCAUGCUCAUGUUUUCUUACAAAGUUACUUGCCUUUAAUGACAUUGAUUUUCAUAGAAGAUGCCACGGAAUUUAAACAUAAAACUAGAUUUAUUGGAAGGAAGGAACAUUUUAGAUGUUCUUCAGACUUUCUCUUUUUAAGCCUUUCGGAUCCCUUCCCUACUUAAGAGCACGUAGUAGCUUGUCUUUAUGUGACAUUCCUCUCUUUCUUCCCCACGCACCAGGCUCCAGCUUGAGUGACCUUCUCAAUAGUCCCUGAAAGCACUGUCCUUUGAUGUGCUGUGCUGUGCUCUCUGCUGGCAGGGUCUUUCUUACUCCCACCUGAGAAACUUCAGCAUACUUGAAGACCCUGGCAAGAAAUCCCUGUUCUGCCAUACUUAGAUUUUCGUCUCAGUUAUCACAUUGUCAUUUUGUCAGUUAUUUGUAUGCUUGUUAGUCUUCCUCCAAAUCCUUCCAAGACAGGGACCAUCUUUAGAUCCCUAGUACCUAGUGCAGUGGUGAGCAUGAGGAGCUCAGCCAGUAUUUGUUCAGUUAGGGUGAUGGCUAUCAAGUUCUCUACAGUGUUAACGGGCAGUGGUGCUUACUUUACCACUAUGUGGCAGCAAACUACGGGAUUAUUUCUUCCCUUGAAUAAGGAGUUCCACCAGGAUGAAUAUUCACCAAAUUGUAGUCGGUGGUUUUUUGGGGAGUGGAAUUACAGGAGGCCCUCAUUUUCCAUGCUGUUUCUGCACUGUUUGAAUAAUAGCAUGUUUUUUUCAUGUGGAAUAUAGCUUUUAUAGAGAAAAGUACAGAAAACAUUUAUAAAGAAGUUUUAGCUUAUUAACUUCCUACCCAAAAGUAUGUUAGAAUAACUUGUCACCUCAGUUUAAAUAAUAUGCUAUGAAAUAUAACAUUCAAAUAGAAAAUUACUUUAUGAAAAUUGCUCGAUAUUAUGUACGUGUGUUUUGUUCAGUAUCAUUCUAGUUAUGUGGAAAAUGUUGCUAUUUUGAUAGCGGUUGUAUUAAAUCUGUGGAUUGCUUUGGUUAGUAUGGACAUUUUAAUAAUAUUGGUUCUUCCAAUCCAUGAGCA